rnacentral:rRNA from 1 species
UACGAAGGGGGCUAGCGUUGUUCGGAUUUACUGGGCGUAAAGCGCACGUAGGCGGAUCGAUCAGUCAGGGGUGAAAUCCCAGGGCUCAACCCUGGAACUGCCUUUGAUACUGUCGAUCUGGAGUAUGGAAGAGGUGAGUGGAAUUCCGAGUGUAGAGGUGAAAUUCGUAGAUAUUCGGAGGAACACCAGUGGCGAAGGCGACACACUGGGCCAUUACUGACGCUGAGGCGCGAAAGCGUGGGGAGCGAACGGG